GACGAACGCUGGCGGCGUGCCUAAUACAUGCCAGUCGAACGAACCGCGACUAAGUGCUUGCCCUAAGUCAAGGUGAGUGGCGAACGGGUGAGUAACACGUGGGUAACCUACCUCAUAGUGGGGGAUAACAGUCGGAAACGACUGCUAAUACCGCAUAGGACAUAGGAUCACAUGAUCCAGUGAGGAAAGGUGGCGCAAGCUAUCGCUAAGAGAUGGAUCCCCGGUUCAUUAGCUAGUUGGUAGGGUAAAGGCCUACCAAGGCGAAGAUGCAUAGCGGACCUGAGAGGGUGAUCGGCCACAGUGGGACUGAGACACGGUCCAAACUCCUACGGGAGGCAGCAGUAGGGAAUCUUCCGCAAUGGACGCAAGUCUGACGGAGCAACGCCGCGUGAGUGAAGAGGGUCUUCGGAUCGUAAAGCUCUGUUGUUAGAGAAGAACAGCGCAUAGAGUAACUGCUAUGCGUGUGACGGUAGCUAACCAGAAAGCCACGGCUAACUACGUG
rnacentral:rRNA from 1 species